rnacentral:misc_RNA from 1 species
GGCUGGGGAGGUGGAGGCACUCGGCGUGGCGGUGUCGGGGAACAACAUCAAGGACGCUAAGUACGCCACGCUGAGCUCGUUUGCCGCGGCCGGGCUUCCGGCGGAGGUGAUGGAUUGCUGCAAGAAGUUCAGUAAGCCGUCACCAAUACAGGCGCAGUCGUGGCCGUUUCUGCUUGACGGGCGAGACUUGAUCGGGAUCGCCGCCACCGGCUCUGGUAAAACUCUGGCCUUUGGAGUCCCGGCGCUGGUGCAUAUACUGAAGAAGAAGAAGGAGAACAAUACACAGAAGAAAGCUGUUCCUCGCUGCCUUGUGCUCUCACCUACUAGAGAGUUAGCCCAACAAAUUGCAGAUGUUUUAAUGGAAGCAGGAUCUCCUUGUGGCAUAAAAACAGUAUGCUUGUACGGUGGGACUUCGAAAGGACCUCAAAUUUCUUCUCUUAAAUCUGGAGUUGAUAUAGUUAUUGGCACCCCUGGUCGAUUGAAGGAUAUGAUUGAAUCGCGUUAUUGCUGUUUGAGCGAGGUGUCCUUUGCGGUUCUUGAU